rnacentral:rRNA from 1 species
GACGAACGCUGGCGGCGUGCUUAACACAUGCAAGUCGAACGAUGAAGCUAGAGCUUGCUCUGGUGGAUUAGUGGCGAACGGGUGAGUAACACGUGAGUAACCUGCCCCGAACUCUGGGAUAACUGCUGGAAACGGUAGCUAAUACCGGAUAUGACCAAUGAAGGCAUCUUCUGUUGGUGGAAAGAAUUUCGGUUCGGGAUGGACUCGCGGCCUAUCAGCUUGUUGGUGAGGUAACGGCUCACCAAGGCGACGACGGGUAGCCGGCCUGAGAGGGGGAGCGGCCAACCUGGGACUGAGACACGGCCCAGACUCCUACGGGAGGCGGCAGUGGGGAAUAUUGCACAAUGGGCGCAAGCCUGAUGCAGCAACGCCGCGUGAGGGACGACGGCCUUCGGGUUGUAAACCUCUUUUAGUAGGGAAGAAGCGAAAGUGACGGUACCUGCAGAAAAAGCACCGGCUAACUACGUGCCAGCCGCCGCCGUAA